AAGUCCUGGUUAUACAAACACGGCUCUCCGCAUGUUUCACAGUUUUGACAGUCGCUUCGAACUGAAAUUCAGAAGGAAGAAUGUUACGGUACGGAAAAUGACAACUAAUCUCUGCACUGAGGUGGUCAUGGUGGUGCGGACAUGGGCCUCAUUCUGGAGCUUCGGGCCAGUAUCGCCUCCAUAUUUCACCUGCCUGCGGUUCCACACCAGUGAGCGGACACCUGGAGCAGCGCCAACAGGAACACCACACACCUCCCAUCUUCGUCUGGCUGAAGACUUUACAAAAAACCUUUUUACAUGAAAACAUUUCGACUCAGAGACACUCUCAUCCAGGGACCCGUGCCCCACUUAAUGAGAUUCUGAGAGCAUUUGUUUUUGGCUCAUUAGAUACUAUAGAAUGAAUACUGAAAAACCCUGAAAAAGUGUUUCAGUCUUAUAUUUACACUUAAAGAUUUACAUUACUUUUUUUGCUAACAGUUUGCCAGUGAGGCGAAACAGUUUGACUCAUUUCAUGAUUUGCCAGAAGGGUAGGAAAAUUUCACUUGACAAGCAAACGAUAACUUAAAACAAUCAAACACUUUCUA